UGUUAACAUUAUUGUUUAUGUGUUAAAUGUGUCUUUGUGAUUUCAGUAUAUUUUAUUUGUAUGGUCAUGGGGCGAGUGGAGCUCAUCAAGUUAGUUAUGAUUGGCCUGCUUUAGCUUAAUACUCUUGCUAAAAAAACAAAAAACAAAGCAUGCACACACCCUGUCCACCUAAACACUGAUUUUGACUCCUCAACAACACCUAACACAGAGCUAGUUGAGCUUGUUCACUAAAAAGAGCGCCUUAAGUUUGCCAAAAUGCACCUGGUUAUUCACAGGAGUUCUGGAACAGUAAUGUGUAAGCAGAUAACUCAACAGUAGAACUAGGUGACCAACACACAGAGCAUGUUCUAGUUGUACUGCUUUGCAAGGUUCAAGCACGGCGUGCUACUGUCAUGGUCUGGGAAUGUUUUUCUAAAAUAAUCCCUAAAUGACAUACCACUACAACUGGCACUGUACAUUGUAAUCACUAGCAGGAGAUUCUUCGGUCAAGCCAGUGUAUUUAUCAAGAGAAAAACUGAUGUAAAUGUUUGGUUCCCUACUUGAUCAUUGUCAGUGCUUAUUUUUGCUUAUAUUAAAUGCAUUUCAGUUUAGUCUGUAAUGAUAUAAAAACGUGUCAAAAUAAAUGCUGUCCAUCCAUUUUGUCAAUGUGCUUUAUUCCCGUACAGAAUGGCAGAGUGAAAGGUGGGAUCAUAUCCUUGCAGCAAUGAGAACAACAGAGGAGCCAGUCCUGGAAGAGAUGGACCUCUUGCUCUGCUGAAGUCUAAUGCUUUUCUCACUAUUCAAAGUACUGUCCAUGCAGGGAGGACACGGGACGUGAACCCAUGAUCUCCUUACUGUGAGGCAGCAGAAGUACCACUUGCACCACCUGGGUCACCACAGCGGAUCAUCUGUCUCCUUUUAUCCCUGUCUUUUACAUUGUUUUGUGCCACACCAACUGCCCUCAUGUCCGCCCCCACCACAGCCAUAAACCUCCUCUUUGGCCUUCCUCUUUUCAUCUUGACUGACUGUUCCAUAAUAUAAAAUGCUGUACCAUAAAAAUAAAGAGCUAUAAAAAGAUGUCAAUAUGGCAAAAAGAGACACUCAUCUGUCAAAACUGUAAGAACGUUUCCAUUUCUUCCACACAAAUAUAAAUUAAAACUUUCCAAGACUUUUAACAGUGUUCUUUAUUAGGCAAACUUGUCAUUGAAGAAAUCUCCUGUGUUCAAGUUAGAAAUAAAACAGCUCAGCACACCCUGUUGGUUAAACACACUCCAUGAUCUCAUGUCAACAAUAGUUAACUCGAUGGUUUACCCAGCAUGCAGACUGUUAAGUACAAAUAAAA